GAUGAAGAACGUAGCGAAAUGCGAUAAGUAAUGUGAAUUGCAGAAUUCAGUGAAUCAUCGAAUCUUUGAACGCACAUUGCGCCCGCCAGUAUUCUGGCGGGCAUGCCUGUUCGAGCGUCAUUUCAACCCUCAGGGCCCUUUUGGACCUGGCGUUGGGGCUCGGCCGCUACCCUGCGGCCGUCCCCGAAAGAUAGUGGCGGUCUCGCUGUAGCCUCCUCUGCGUAGUAGUUACAUCUCGCACUGGAACGCGGCGCGGCCAUGUCGUUAAACACCCCACUUCUCAAGGUUGACCUCGGAUCAGGUAGGAAUACCCGCUGAACUUAAGCAUAUCAAUAAGCGGAGGA
rnacentral:misc_RNA from 1 species